rnacentral:rRNA from 1 species
GACGCUGAGGCUNGAAAGCGUGGGUAGCGAACAGGAUUAGAUACCCUGGUAGUNCACGCCGUAAACGAUGAGUGCUAGGUGUUAGGCCCUUUCCGGGGCUUAGUGCCGGAGCUAACGCAAUAAGCACUCCGCCUGGGGAGUACGACCGCAAGGUUGAAACUCAAAGGAAUUGACGGGGGCCCGCACAAGCGGUGGAGCAUGUGGUUUAAUUNGAAGCAACGCGAAGAACCUUACCAGGUCUUGACAUCCCGAUGCUAUUCUUAGAGAUAGGAAGUUACUUCGGUACAUCGGAGACAGGUGGUGCAUGGUUGUCGUCAGCUCGUGUCGUGAGAUGUUGGGUUAAGUCCCGCAACGAGCGCAACCCUUAUUGUUAGUUGCCAUCAUUAAGUUGGGCACUCUAGCGAGACUGCCGGUAAUAAACCGGAGGAAGGUGGGGAUGACGUCAAAUCAUUAUGCCCCUUAUGACCUGGGCUACACACGUGCUACAAUGGUCGGUACAACGAGUUGCGAGCCGGUGACGGCAAGCUAAUCUCUGAAAGCCGAUCUCAGUUCGGAUUGGAGGCUGCAACUCGCCUCCAUGAAGUCGGAAUCGCUAGUAAUCGCGGAUCAGCACGCCGCGGUGAAUACGUUCCCGGGCCUUGUACACACCGCCCGUCACACUACGAGAGUUUGUAACACCCGA